AACGCACAUUGCACUCUUUUAGAGUAUGCCUGUUUGAGAAUCUAAUGUAUUUCUUUUAUCUUUUUAAAACUUUAGUUUUAUCAAAAGGUAAAGAUGUGAAGGUCUCUCUUAAGAGUCCUUUGAAAAUGAUUACUAUAACUAAAUGGUUUAUCUAUAAUGACACUGUUUACGUUUUGGUAACUGAAAUGUAUUUGACUGAAACUGUGGUUUCUUUAUUGUACAAAUUAAGUUAUUGUUAAAUGGUUAGUAGGUAAAUUUGUUGUAGUCUUUUUUUAAAAAGAGUACUAAACAUACUUUUUUGAACCUUGGUCUCAAAUCAGGUAGGGCUACCCGCUGAACUUAA
rnacentral:misc_RNA from 1 species